rnacentral:misc_RNA from 1 species
AGUACAGAGAUCGCACUCAUCGACUUUAUAUUAUAUAUAUUUAUAUUGAUAGCAAGCACUAGUAGCUUCAAAAACUUGUACUUUAUUAGACUUAAAGAAUAGUACCCUCCUCGCCGUAUGGAAUGCUGAUACUCUUGCUCUUUUUUGUUUGUGCCUGGACAAGUCCUAUCCAUGGAGCCUUUGUCCAUGAAAGAGAUAAGCAUCUAGAUAGCCUACGAUUUACUCAAAACUUUUCCGCCAAUGAUCCACCCAAAUUGCAUCAUAGUCCUCUCAUAGUUGAAUUUCAAGUCAAUUUGAGAAAUGUUCUCGAAAUCAAUGAGCUCGAACAAACAAUUUCCCUCGAAACAUCCAUUCGAAUGUUUUGGAAAGAUCAUCGAAUAUCACUUUCAAAAAAGAAUGUUCCUUACUUAACGUUUAAUCCUGAAUAUCUCAAAGAUGCUUUUUGGAUUCCAGACGUAUUUGUGGAUGAAGCCAAGGAUCUUCGCUCACCUCAGUAUCAACUGAGGCCGAGUUCUCUUAGAGUCUAUAAUGAUUCGACGCUCCGGUUUUCGAGUAGGGUGAAUUUUGAUAUAAAAUGCUCAAUGUGGUUUCAUCGCUUCCCUAAUGAUGUUCAGGUGUGUGAUGUGAAACUGGAGAGUUUUGGCUAUACCACAAAUGAAGUCAUUUUUAAAUGGAAGAAAAGUGGUAAUGAUGUCAACAAAAACAUUUCCCUACCAAAUUUUGACUUCUUCAUUGAAACGAAUGAGUCAUACAACACGGGUUCAAUUUACAGUUUAUCCUAUCCUGGAGUGGCGAUGAAGGUUCGACUAAGUAGAAAACUUACAUACCACAUAUUACAAACCUAUAUUCCGUCCAUUAUGCUUGUGGUUGUUUCAUGGUUUUCACUCUUUAUACCUAUUGAGGAAAUCCCAGGAUUCAACUUGUUAAUUCAAUUAAGAAUGUGAAGUUUGGUAGUUAGUUAUAUUUAUUAUUUAUGGGACGAUUACACAAAAGAGGUUGAUUCCGAUUAUGAAGCCGAUUCUGAUUCUUGAAUAAUUUAAGACGAGUUGGAAUGGUCACCAUGUCCCUUGUGACACUUAUGGCUCUUUAUACUGUUGUUCGAAAGGAAGUUCCACAAGUUUCGUACAUUUCUCUUUUGGAUCUCUGGAUGUUUUCUUCCAUGUCUUUUAU